CCUACGGGAGGCAGCAGUGGGGAAUAUUGGGCAAUGGGCGCAAGCCUGACCCAGCAACGCCGCGUGAAGGAAGAAGGCUUUCGGGUUGUAAACCUCUUUUCUCAGGGACGAAGAAAGUGACGGUAACUGAGGAAUAAGCCACGGCUAACUACGUGCCAGCAGCCGCGGUAAUACGUAGGUGGCAAGCGUUAUCCGGAUUUAUUGGGUGGAAAGGGCGUGUAGGCGGGAGGGCAAGUCAGAUGUGAAAGCCCAGGGCUCAACCGUGAGCCUGCAUUUGAAACUGUGUUUCUGGAGUGCUGGAGAGGCAAGCGGAAUUCCUGGUGUAGCGGUGAAAUGCGUAGAUAUUAGGAGGAACAUCGGUGGCGAAGGCGGCUUACUGGGCUUUUACUGACGCUGAGGCUCGAAAGCGUGGGGAGCAAACAGGAUUAGAUACCCUUGUAGUC
rnacentral:rRNA from 1 species